GCAAAUUGCAAAGCAGCAGUGUGGAAGAAACAGAGCACUUUGUUACAAGUUUAUCCUUGAGAUCAAGCAAUUUUCUGUGGGAGUUGAGUGGUCAAAAGCGUCAAUUUGUGUUUACCUUUCCUCGAGAAAGUUUCAGGUGAUAAUAACUUAGUGCACUUUAUUUUGUAGAGACUUCCCUCCCUCUUUUACCAAUUGCUUUUGCUUUCGUCAUGAUCAUACUUGUCCUCCACCUCCACCUCCACCUCCACCAUCCAUGAAACUCAAUAUAACACAGUUUUCUUAGAACCCUUCUUCUGUUCUUCCCCACUUACCAUAUUCAAGUCUCAAGAGAGAAGAGGAGAACUGAGGGAGCUUCCUUCAUGCUUCAAACCAUACCCUCCGGGAUAUAGCAGGUUCUGUACAACUGGUACAUCAAAGGCCAAAAAAUGGAACACACCAAGACAAACUAAAGAAUGACACACCAAGCACGCAGAAUGUGAGUACCGGAUAGGAACUCCGAGGGUGGUAACUCUGCUGAGGGACAAAAGAAUGCAGAAAACUUUGUUAGAUACUUUUGGAAAUGCUAGAAUGCACCGUAACAUUCUAGAUCUGGGUUUUGGGAAGCAGAUCUUAACCUGCCUUUUGGUAAAAUUUCAGGCUGGAAUGGCUGCAAUCCAAAGAGGAAAGGAAUUUGAAAAAACAUGAACUCAAUAGGCAAGGCAACUAAGCCAUGUAAAAUUCUAUGUAUAAGGUGGAUCAAAAAGGCUGGUUGAUUAUAGACUUUGAAGGAGGGCUCGUUUGCAGGGUGGUGGUCGUGAAGGAUUGUUGCUUGGGUAAGGAGAAGGAGACUCCACUCCAAGCGUUUUGAGCAAGAAGCUCCUUUCCUGAAAAAUCCAACAACAUAACUGGUUGUCUACAUUGUGGAAAUUCUGAAUCAACACAGUAAAUGGAGCUCUUAGCUGCUGAUUCAUCUUUCCACACUGCUCAAAUAGUCU